rnacentral:snRNA from 1 species
GGAUAGGAGGGUGCUUCCUCACCGGAAUGAUUGACCAGAUUGACAUGGCUCAUCUGGCUGUCUCAGUGGGUGUCCCCUUCCUCUGUCACCACUCCAUGUGUGCUUGGAAGGAUGGACUUCCCCAAAAGAUAAAGGAGAUAGAGCACAUGAGUAGCCGUGCUCCUCUGCUGUUGAUAGAACUCCAAAGGAUUGUUCAAGGUCCAUUUGUAGGAGGAUGUAAAUGAGGCUUCUAAGACUCGAGAUACAUUUAAAUGAGGUGCUGCACAUGGCAAGCUGCCUUUUU